rnacentral:miRNA from 1 species
UGCUGUGGCCAAAUUCCUGUAA